GAGUGGGCGGAUGACUUCGAGCCGUAUGCGGUGCAUCUCUAUCGCGCAGGACCGGGCCGUGACUGACCUCAAUACCGCGAUCGUUUAGGACAAAAUCAUGAGAACAGAAUAAUAGGGGGACCUCCGUGGCUCCAAGAAUCUUCGCCGGGAACGAAGAGUUCCACCGGUAUGAAACGUCCGCGACCCGUGCGCGGACUUCCAAACGGGAAAGAAAAGAAUUGAGCCACGAAAAGGCGCAAAAGUCACAAAAGGACAGUGAUGAGCAUGGGAUAACGAUGUGUUUCUCAUCCGUGCCACUACCGUGCGAUUUGCUCCCAAGCCGCGAAGAUUCUUUAACCACGGAUGGACACGGAUGGGCACGGAUGAAAAGGCAAAAGCCUCUCCUCACGUUAUCUGAACAUAACUGGGCUUGAAGCAGCCCUCCUCCUCAAUUUCAAGGAGGCGAAACUGGCCUGGAAGCGGGUCGUAAGCGGCGAGGCAGAGCAUGAAUCAACCUCGGUAAAUUGGCAGAAACCAAUUUAUAAGUGGCCGAGUGCAUUCUCACCGAUACGAGACACAUCUUUAUCCGUGCGCAUCCGUGCCCAUCCGUGGUUUAAAUCUUUUUCUUUCUUGCGGCUGUGCCGCGCUGGGCCCAUCCGUGGUUAAUUCCUUCGGCUCCUCGUGAUUGAAUCGAUUUUUGAAAUCCUCUCGGUUUGCAAGGUAUUUGCGCUGGAGUGGACGAAUGCGCCAAAGUCAGCGUUGCAAUGCGGGCGACAGGGGUAGAGAAUCGCUGGCGAUGACAAAGCCGUUCACCCUGAACCACGCCGCGUCAAGCAG
rnacentral:misc_RNA from 1 species